rfam:Beta vulgaris subsp. vulgaris contig128555.1, whole genome shotgun sequence.
GCGCCAUUGGUUGAAUGGUACAAUAGCUCGUUGCCAACGAGUUGGUCCGGGUUCGAUUCCCGGAUGGCGCA